GAUGAACGCUGGCGGCGUGCUUAACACAUGCAAGUCGAACGGGAUCCCAGGAGCUUGCUCCUGGGUGAGAGUGGCGAACGGGUGAGUAAUGCGUGACCGACCUGCCCCAUACACCGGAAUAGCUCCUGGAAACGGGUGGUAAUGCCGGAUGCUCCAGUUGGAUGCAUGUCCUUCUGGGAAAGAUUCAUCGGUAUGGGAUGGGGUCGCGUCCUAUCAGCUUGAUGGCGGGGUAACGGCCCACCAUGGCUUCGACGGGUAGCCGGCCUGAGAGGGCGACCGGCCACAUUGGGACUGAGAUACGGCCCAGACUCCUACGGGAGGCAGCAGUGGGGAAUAUUGCACAAUGGGCGCAAGCCUGAUGCAGCGACGCCGCGUGCGGGAUGACGGCCUUCGGGUUGUAAACCGCUUUUGACUGGGAGCAAGCCCUUCGGGGUGAGUGUAC
rnacentral:rRNA from 1 species